rnacentral:rRNA from 1 species
ACUGAAAAGAUUCUUACAUUUAAACCUUUAAUAUAAAUUUUUUUAAAAAAAAUUAUAACAUUAUUAUUCAAAAACAAUCAACCCACAACUGAAAAGAAAAAAAACUUUCAAAAAAGAAAUAUAAUUUUCCUUUAGUAUCAGGAUAUAUCUAAUUAUUCAAAUAACAUAACAUCUCCCGAAUAUAUAUGAUCUAUUGUAUAUAAAAAUAUAUAUCUCAAUAUAUUAACAAAAUCUACAAUAGAAAUUACACGUUAUACGAAUAUAAUUAUAUCUGGUUUUUUAUAUAAAAAUAUAUAUUCAUAUAUUAUUCCUAAAGAAUAAUACAAAUUAAUAAUUUUUCAUUCAAAAACAAAGACCAACAGUACUUAAAAAGUUUAAUAACUACAUCAAAAAUUUCAAUAAAUUUACCCAAUAAAAUAAAUCAAAAAUAUCCAAAUAAUGAUAUAAUUAUUAGAUUCUAUAUAUAAAUUUAAUAAACUCCACUAAAAUUCAAUGACUGUUUAUCAAAAACAUCUCUAUUAUUCUCAUUAAUAGUAAAAUCUGCUCAAUGAAGUAUUUUCAAUAGCCGCAAUUUUAGUGCUAAGGUAGCAUAAUCAUUUGUCUUUUAAAUGAAGACUAGAACAAAAGAUUUAACAUUUAAUUCAAUUUAUCAAAAUUACAAAUCGAAAUUCAUUUAAAUGUAAAAAAGCAUUUAUAUAAAAGAAAGACGACAAGACCCUAUCGAACUUAACUUCAGUUAAACUGGGGCAGUCAAUUAAUUAUUAUUUUAAUUUAUACUAAAACAAUAAAAAUCUAAUACAACUAAAUCAUUCAGUUACCAUAGGGAUAACAGCGCAAUAAUAUUUUUAAGUCCUUAUAUAAAAAAUAAAUUACGACCUCGAUGUUGAAUUAAUUACCUAAUUAAAGCAAAUUUUAAAAAAGGAAGUCUGUUCGACUUUUAAAAAAUUACAUGAUUUGAGUUCAGACCGGUAUAAGCCAGGUCGGCUUCUAUCUUCUAAAAAAAUUUUUACAGUACGAAAGGACCCAAAAAUAUAAUAUAAUUAUCAUAUUGGCAGAAAUAUGCAUU